AGAUUUAAAAGAUAUCAAGAAUGAAGAAUGAUGUUCUGGAUCUGUGCAAUGAUGACAUUAACAGGGGAAUUGCAUAAAUGGGGUAAUUCAAUUUUUGAUUUAGUCACUUGCAAAACUAGGUAACAGAACUUUGGACUAUCACAAUACUAUUGCUUUGAUAUUGAUUUGUCAUCGUCAGUGUCGAUGUGGGGCGUAGGAGGCACAGAGAUGAUGCUGAUCGCCAGCGAUUAGCAGUCGAGGAGCGGUACCCCGGCCUGCGCCUGAGCUACAAUAGCAUGUUACCAUUGAUAACAUGAGCUAUUGCUAAUGGUCUGCUGACUAAUGUACUGACAACUUGAAAUCAUCUUUUCUUUAAACUUAGUGGUAAUUUAUCAAGGAAAGAUAUAUAUUUGUUGGUCAGUUGCUCAGUUCCAG
rnacentral:lncRNA from 1 species